UACGUAGGGUGCGAGCGUUGUCCGGAAUUACUGGGCGUAAAGAGCUCGUAGGCGGUUUGUCGCGUCGUCUGUGAAAUUCUGCAACUCAAUUGUAGGCGUGCAGGCGAUACGGGCAGACUUGAGUACUACAGGGGAGACUGGAAUUCCUGGUGUAGCGGUGAAAUGCGCAGAUAUCAGGAGGAACACCGGUGGCGAAGGCGGGUCUCUGGGCCGAUACUGACGCUGAGGAGCGAAAGCGUGGGGAGCAAACAGG
rnacentral:rRNA from 1 species